rnacentral:rRNA from 1 species
UGUGACGAAUAUGACGGUAGCAUAUGAAUAAGGAUCGGCUAACUCCGUGCCAGCAGCCGCGGUCAUACGGAGGAUCCAAGCGUUAUCCGGAAUUACUGGGCGUAAAGAGUUGCGUAGGUGGCAUAGUAAGCGGGUAGUGAAAGCGUGUGGCUCAACCAUACUCACAUUAUCUGAACUGCUAAGCUAGAGGACGAGAGAGGUUAUUGGAAUUCCCAGUGUAGGAGUGAAAUCCGUAGAUAUUGGGAGGAACACCGAUGGCGUAGGCAGAUAACUGGCUCGUUCCUGACACUAAGGCACGAAAGCGUGGGUAGCAAACGGGAUUAGAUACCCCGGUAGUCCACGCCGUAAACGAUGGAUGCUAGCUGUAUUCGGUAUCGACCCCGGAUGUAGCGAAGCUAACGCGUUAAGCAUCCCGCCUGUGGAGUACGGUCGCAAGACUAAAACAUAAAGGAAUUGACGGGGACCCGCACAAGCGGUGGAGCGUGUUGUUUAAUUCGAUGGUAAGCGAAGAACCUUACCCAGGCUUGACAUCCUGCGAAUUUCUCCGAAAGGAGAGAGUGCUUUAUUGAACGCAGUGACAGGUGAUGCAUGGCCGUCGUCAGCUCGUGUCGUGAGAUGUU